rnacentral:pre_miRNA from 1 species
GUUGGGCUGGACCUGGUCCGCUGGGCUGGUCCUGGUCAUCUGGCUGGACCAGGUCUAUAGUGGAGCAUGGACCCUGU